GAUGAACGCUGGCGGCGUGCUUAACACAUGCAAGUCGAACGGAAAGGCUCCUGCUUGCAGGGGUACUCGAGUGGCGAACGGGUGAGUAACACGUGGGUGAUCUGCCCUGCACUUCGGGAUAAGCCUGGGAAACUGGGUCUAAUACCGGAUAGGACCACAUUUUGGAUGGUGUGGUGGAAAGUUUUUCGGUGUGGGAUGAGCUCGCGGCCUAUCAGCUUGUUGGUGGGGUAAUGGCCUACCAAGGCGUCGACGGGUAGCCGGCCUGAGAGGGUGUACGGCCACAUUGGGACUGAGAGAGGGCCCAGACUCCUACGGGAGGCAGAAGUGGGGAAUAUUGCACAAUGGGCGCAAGCCUGAUGCAGCGACGCCGCGUGGGGGAUGACGGCCUUCGGGUUGUAAACUCCUUUCGCUAGGGACGAAGCGCAAGUGACGGUACCUGGAGAAGAAGCACCGGCUAACUACGUG
rnacentral:rRNA from 1 species